UACGGAGGGUGCAAGCGUUAUCCGGAUUCACUGGGUUUAAAGGGUGCGUAGGCGGAUAGGUAAGUCAGAGGUGAAAUCUUCGAGCUUAACUCGGAAACUGCCUUUGAUACUAUCUAUCUUGAAUAUUGUGGAGGUAAGCGGAAUAUGUCAUGUAGCGGUGAAAUGCUUAGAUAUGACAUAGAACACCUAUUGCGAAGGCAGCUUACUGCGCAUAUAUUGACGCUGAGGCACGAAAGCGUGGGGAGCAAACAGG
rnacentral:rRNA from 1 species